AACGAAGUGAAUUGAAAUAUCUUAGUAACUUUAGGAAAAGAAAUCAAACGAGAUUGUUAUUUGGUGCAAACUAAAUAACAAGAGCCUAUUAACAAAACUUGUUAAAGUAAAAUGGAUUAAAAUCUGUUUGAAUAUAGGGGAACCUUCCUCUAAGGCUAAAUAUGAUAUAUAAGCGAUAGUGAAAAGUACCGUGAGGUAAAAUUUGAAAUAGUAGUUUUAUAAGCAGCUCGAGUGAAAAUUUAAAUAAGUAAUAAGAGUGUACCUUUUGCAUAAUGGGUCAGCAAGUUAAUUUUAGAUGCAAGCAAUGAUUUCGUGCGCUUUGCGCAUGGAACUAGCUUAGAUAAACCAAUUAUGAGAAAAUGAAUAAGUAUCUAGAAUUAGACCCGAAGGCUAGUGAUCUUACCAUGGUCAGGAUUAUAAAAGUCCGAACGGGUUAUCGUUGUAUAGAUAUCCGAAGAAUUGUGGUAAGUUAGUGAAAGACAAAACUGACUAGUAUAGCUGGUUUUCCGCGAAACCUAUAUGAGUAGGUAAUUUAACUAACAUCUUAGCAGGUACAGAACUGUGAUCUCGGACAAUAUCUUUUGAUUUUGUCAACAUCGGGGGGUUGUAGUGACUUUACCGGAGAGUAUUUGCACUCGGAAUGGCAAAGAUGAAUGUUGAAUAAUCGGACAUAGUGCGAUAAGGUUGUAUGUCUAAAGGGAAACAGCCCAGAACAAGAGUUAAGGUUCCAAAAUUAUUGUUGAGUGAAAUUAAGGAUGUUUUUUUUAAAAACAAUCAGGAAAUAGGCUUAGAAGCGGCCAUUUUUUGAAGACCUCGUAACAGAGCACUGAUUAAUUAAAUUUAGAAAAAAACACCGAAAAUUUAACGGAUCUAAACAAUAUACCGAAACCUUGUACACAUAUUUAUAAUAUUAAUAUUGUAUAUGUGGGGUAGCGGAACAUUGGAUAAAUAUUAAUUAUUAUUUCUUCUAAGAAGUAAUAAGUAUGGAUUAUUAUUAAAAAUAUUUAUUUAUUAAAGAUAUUUAUGUAAUAUUAUUAUACCUAAAAGGUAUAAUGUUUAGAUGAAUAUAUAGAUAGAUUAUAUCUGUCUUUAUUAUUAAUAUAAUCCAUCGAUAUAAUCCAAGAGAGAAUGCUGACAUGAGUAACGAAAAAGGAAUAUCCUCGCCUUAAGCUUAUGGUAUUAUAUUUAAUUUUCGGUAUCUAAAAGUAUUAAUCAAAAGGUAAUUUUGAUGAUAUUUAUAUAUAAAUACUUAAAAAUAAAAAACAAAACCUUUAACAAGUAAUAAAGGUUCUGGAAAAUUUUUUAUUUUUAUUAAGUGAAGUAUAAUGCAAUAUAGGUAUAUUAUAAUUUAUAUAAUUUUCUUGUUACAAGUUUUCAAGAUUGUAUAGAUUUUAUCUAUAUUAAAUAUAUUUUCUUUUUUAUACUAUUGUAUAAGUAAGGUUUAUAUAUACCGUACCUAGAUACUAUCACAAGUAAGCAAGUAGAGAAUACAAAGGCGUUUGAGUGAACAAUCAUUAAGGAACUCGGCAAAUUGACUACCGUAACUUCGGGAUAAGGAGGGCCAUUAUGAUUAGUUUAACAUAUCUUAUGAUAUGAUUUAAUUAAACUAAUCAUAAGAGGAAACAUGAAAUAAUGUUGUACGACUGUUUAAUAAAAACACAGCACUCUGCAAAGAUAAAAUAUCAAAGUAUUGAGUGUGAUGUCUGCCCAAUGUCGGCUGGGUAACGGAUUUACCUUGGUUUUUAACUGAGGUUUUGAAGGAUACCCCGAUUAAUGGCGGCCUUACCUAUGAGGGUCCUAAGGUAGCGAAAUACCUUGGCCGUUAAAUGCGGUCCUGCAUGAAUGACUUAACGAUACAACAGCUGUCUCGAUGAUUGUCUCAGUGAAAUUGGAAUAGCAGUGCAGAUACUGUUUACCUCUAGAUAGACGAGAAGACCCUAUGCAGCUUUACUGUUACUAAUUGCAAGAGUGGAAAUUUAGGAUGAUUUCGAGUGUAUAAGGUAGUUGUUUGAUAACAAUGAAACACCUUUAUUCGUUUCCUACUAUAUGCUCUUGAGGAUUGGGAGGCAGUUUAUGCGGGGCACAGAUCCCACAAAAAGUACCUGGGUAUAUCCAAAGUUCAUUUUGUAAAUUUGUAAAUUUCUUUACAAAUAUUUUAAUUUGUUAUAAUUAUAUUCAUAAUUAUACAGUUAUUGUUAGAUUAAGUUCAAUAUUUAUUUUUUAUUUAAGUAAGAUUUUAACUAUAUGGUGAAUAGAUGUAUUUUAAACUUUACCCGGGGAGGGAGUGAUCCAACUCCGGGAUAUUUAAAAGUUUUUUCUCAUAUUAAUAUUGUAUUUUAUCUUUAUUGAUAUGAUAAUUAAUUAUACUUUAAAAGUUUAAUGGCUAAAUCUUGCUUUACUGUUUGACCUACAAGUCUAUCAGUCGCGUAAGCGGGGCAUAUGAUCACAAGAUGCAUAAAGGAAAGGUCUUGGAUUAUAGAAAAAGUUACGCUAGGGAUAACAGGCUAAUUUGCGCAAGAGAGUACAAAUUGAGUGCGCGGUUUGGCACCUCGAUGUCGGCUUAGCUCAUCCACAUGAAUGCAAAAAUCAUGAAGGGUUCGACUGUUCGUCGAUUAAAGAGCUACAUGAGCUGGGUUUAAUACGUCGUGAGACAGUAUGGUUUCUAUCUUCUAGAGGGAAUUAAAGUAGAAUAAAGAUAGCCCCUUCGUACGAAAGGAGUUGGGUAUAUUGACCUAUGGUUUACCUGUUGUUUAUGUUAUAUAUUAUUAUACAUAAUAUAUCAUUUACUUAUACUUAAGUAAAUUGUUCACAUAGGCAUGGCAGGAAGGCUACGUCAGUUAAAGAUAAGUGCUGAAAGCAUUUAAGCGCGAAGCUUACUUUAGGAUACUUUUAAACGUAGUAGAACACUACGA
rnacentral:rRNA from 1 species